rnacentral:rRNA from 1 species
AGUGAACGCUGGCGGUAGGCCUAACACAUGCAAGUCGAACGGCAGCACAGUAAGAGCUUGCUCUUGCGGGUGGCGAGUGGCGGACGGGUGAGGAAUACAUCGGAAUCUACUUUUUCGUGGGGGAUAACGUAGGGAAACUUACGCUAAUACCGCAUACGACCUACGGGUGAAAGCAGGGGAUCUUCGGACCUUGCGCGAUUGAAUGAGCCGAUGUCGGAUUAGCUAGUUGGCGGGGUAAAGGCCCACCAAGGCGACGAUCCGUAGCUGGUCUGAGAGGAUGAUCCGCCAGACUGGAACUGAGACACGGUCCAGACUCCUACGGGAGGCAGCAGUGGGGAAUAUUGGACAAUGGGCGCAAGCCUGAUCCAGCCAUACCGCGUGGGUGAAGAAGGCCUUCGGGUUGUAAAGCCCUUUUGUUGGGAAAGAAAAGCAGCUGGUUAAUACCCCGCUGUUCUGACGGUACCCAAAGAAUAAGCACCGGCUAACUUCGUG